rnacentral:rRNA from 1 species
UUCGUAGGCGGUGUGGCAAGUCGGAAGUGAAAUCUCCAGGCUUAACUUGGAGGCUGCUCCCGAAACUGCCAUGCUAGAGUGCGGGAGAGGCGAGUGGAAUUACAGGUGUAGCGGUGAAAUGCGUAGAUAUCUGUAGGAACACCCGUGGCGAAGGCGGCUCGCUGGACCGCAACUGACGCUGAGGAAUGAAAGCUAGGGGAGCAAACA